rnacentral:rRNA from 1 species
CAGCUCGGUCGUGAGAUGUUGGGUUAAGUCCCGCAACGAGCGCAACCCUUAAGCUUAGUUGCCAUCAUUAAGUUGGGCACUCUAAGUUGACUGCCGGUGACAAACCGGAGGAAGGUGGGGAUGACGUCAAAUCAUCAUGCCCCUUAUGAUUUGGGCUACACACGUGCUACAAUGGACAAUACAAAGGGUAGCAAAACCGCGAGGUCAAGCAAAUCCCAUAAAGUUGUUCUCAGUUCGGAUUGUAGUCUGCAACUCGACUACAUGAAGCUGGAAUCGCUAGUAAUCGUAGAUCAGCAUGCUACGGUGAAUACGUUCCCGGGUCUUGUACACACCGCCCGUCACACCACGAGGUUUGUAACACCCGAAGCCGGUGGAGUAACCUUUUGGAGCUAGCCGUCGAAGGUGGGACAAAUGAUUG